CAAUAGCGUAUAUUAAAGUUGUUGCGGUUAAAAAGCUCGUAGUUGGAUUUCUGCCGAGGACGACCGGUCCGCCCUCUGGGUGGGUAUCUGGUUCGGCCUGGGCAUCUUCUUGGAGAACGUAUCUGCACUUGACUGUGUGGUGCGGUAUCCAGGACUUUACUUUGAGGAAAUUAGAGUGUUCAAAGCAGGCCUUCGCUUGAAUACAUUAGCAUGGAAUAAUAGAAUAGGACUUUGGUUCUAUUUUGUUGGUUUCUAGGACCGAAGUAAUGAUUAAUAGGGACAGUUGGGGGCAUUAGUAUUUAAUUGUCAGAGGUGAAAUUCUUGGAUUUAUGAAAGACGAACUUCUGCGAAGCAUUUGCCAAGGAUGUUUUCAUUAAUCAAGAACGAAAGUUGGAGGCUCGAAGA
rnacentral:rRNA from 1 species